AUCGCUUCUCGGCCUUAUGGCUAAGAUCAAAGUGUGGUAUCUGUUCUUAUCAGCUUAACAUCUGAUAGAUCCUCCAUCCGAGGACAACAAAUGUUAAGGGGGGAAGCUGGUCUAGAAUUUUGAAAAAAUCGAAAAAUUUUUUUUUGUCUUAAAAGGUGCUUUAGGGUCUUAGAAAUAAUAUACCAAAUGAGGGAUGCCAGCA